rnacentral:lncRNA from 1 species
GAAGCAUGAACAACCAAGCUAUUCACUGUUAUGCCACGUGUAAAAUCACCUCUAUGGAAUUCCACAUCUCCUUUGUGUACGGAUUAUACUCAAAUUCAGAUAGGAAAGCGCUGUGGCAAUCUAUUGAUAAAUAUGGGGAGAAUCUUCGAGAACCAUGGCUAAUCCUCGGUGACUUCAAUUGUGUUCUCAGUCCGGAAGAGAAGCAAGGGGGCAAUGAACCUAUCCCUUAUGCCAUUAGAGACUUCAAUGAUUGCAUGCAAACUAAUGGGAUUUCUGACCUCCCGUUUAAUGGCUGCCAUAUGACGUGGUCCAACUCCGGAACAGCAAACAUUAUCUGGAGCAAGCUUGAUAGAGCAAUGGUGAAUCAUUGGUGGUUUCAAGCCCCGAAUCAAGCUAACUUUCAGAGCUCGGUCACAUUCCACCCAUCGGGAGUCUUAUCUGAUCACUCCCCAUGCAUCAUCAACCUAUCCUCAGUGCAAAAGAGACCUAAGAAAGCAUUUAAAUUCUUCAACAUGUGGGUGCAGCAUCCGAAAUUCAAUGAAAUUGUGCAAGGAAAAUGGAACACGGGGAACUUCGGCACUGCACAGUACUGCCUAUGCAAAAAGCUUAAAGCUUUGAAGAAACCGCUUAUUGUCCUUAAUCAGCAAGAAUUCAGUCACAUCUCCCAAAGGGCAGCGAAAGGGAAGAAGGAACUGGAAGAUCUACAAAUCCGUAUGCAAUCAGACCUUAAUAACCUAGAUCUCGCUCAGGAUAUCAAAAACAAAGCAGCCAGAACCAAGUUCCUCAUGGAAGCCGAAAGGAGUUUCUUGACUCAGAAAGCGAAGAAUCACUAUAUCAAGCAUGCAGAUCGAAGUAACAAAGUGUUCUAUGGUGUAAUCAAUAAACGAGCAAAGAGCAACCACAUAGCCGCUGUGAUUCGGGAGGAUGGUUCAUCUACCACAUCCGAAAACGAAGUGAUUUCAGAAUUUAAUCACUUCUAUCAGGACCUUCUUGGGUCAGCUGAUCAUUGCACUCCUCUUAACCGAGAUAUUAUCAGCGUCGGACCAAUCCUGAGUGAAGACCAAGGUAGAGACCUUAUCAGACCAGUAUCUGUCCAAGAAAUUCGGUAUGCUCUUCAAGAGAUUGGUGACGAUAAAUCCCCUGGACCGGACGGAUAUAAUUCAUACUUUUUCAAGAAAGCAUGGUCAACAGUGGGCAGAGAUGUAAUUGAUGCAGUUCUUGAAUUCUUUAGAAAUGGGCGGCUCUUAAAGCAACUGAACCACACCACUCUUGCUCUUAUCCCAAAGUCUGAUCAUGCUUCUGCCGUAGGAGAUUAUCGACCUAUUGCUUGCUGCAACAUCGUUUAUAAAAUCAUCUCAAAAAUUAUUGCAACGAGGCUGAGCAGUGUUCUUGACCUCCUAGUGGAUAAAGCUCAAUCUGCCUUCAUCAAAGGAAGGAACAUAGGGGAUAAUAUCCAUUUGGCUGAAGUGCUUCUUCGACAGUAUCAACGAAUCAGAACAGCGCCUAAAUGCCUCAUCAAGGUGGACCUCAGAAAAGCUUACGAUUCCAUUAAUUGGAAUUUUAUCGGUGAUAUGCUGAAUGAACUCCACUUCCCCCCAAUCUUCAGAGCAUGGAUCAUGGAAUGUGUAACAACGCCCUCAUAUUCAAUAUCUAUCAAUGGUAGCUCUCAUGGUCUCAUCAUAGGCAAGAAGGGCCUUAGACAAGGGGACCCUCUAUCGCCGUUCCUAUUUGUUCUCUGCCUCGAUUACUUCUCCAGACUCAUUAAGACUAAAACCGUGAAUUCCGAGUUUAACUUCCACCCAAAGUGCCAUAAGAACAGCAUUACUCAUCUAGCUUUUGCGGAUGACUUAAUGUUGUUUGCUAGAGGGGAUUUGGGAUCGAUCUUAGUGCUUAAAGAAUGCCUAAGCAUACUGGGGGAUACUACAGGUCUAAAAAUCAGCAUGCACAAAUCGAAUAUCUAUCUUGCUGGUGUAAAAGAGCCGGACAAAGCCGCUAUUCUUGAUCAACUUCAUAUCACGCAUGGGACUUUUCCGUUCAGAUAUCUUGGGAUACCUCUUGCCGCUUCAAAACUUAAAGUGCUACAGUACUCUCCUCUAACUGAUCGAAUCAGGAAACUUAUUGAGAAAUGGAACGGAGCUACACUAUCCUAUGGUGGGAAAAUUGAGCUCAUAAGAUCAGUGGUGCAAGGGGUGGUAUGUUUCUGGCUCUCACUGUUCCACAUACCCUCAGCCGUGGUGUACUGUAUCCAGAGACUUUGUAGUAUUUUUCUCUGGGGUUCAAACACUGCUACUGUUCAGUGGAAAGAUCUGUGCUUCCCCAAGACAGAAGGGGGGUUAGGCUUUCGCAAUCUCAAGGUGUGGAACAGAGCUCUACUCCUUAAAGAGGUGUGGAACAUCCAUUCGAAAAAAGAUGCUCUAUGGAUCCAAUGGGUGAACGAAUUCUUCUUCAAAACAGUGGAUAUAUGGGAAUGGCAUCCUAAACCUGAUGCACCACCGCUACU